rnacentral:rRNA from 1 species
UACCAGCACCCCGAGUGGUCGGGACGUUUUAUUGGGCCUAAAGCAUCCGUAGCCGGUUCUACAAGUCUUCCGUUAAAUCCACCUGCUUAACAGAUGGGCUGCGGAAGAUACUAUAGAGCUAGGAGGCGGGAGAGGCAAGCGGUACUCGAUGGGUAGGGGUAAAAUCCGUUGAUCCAUUGAAGACCACCAGUGGCGAAGGCGGCUUGCCAGAACGCGCUCGACGGUGAGGGAUGAAGCUGGGGGA